AUUGAACGUUGGCGGCAGGCUUAACACAUGCAAGUCGAACGAGUGGCGGACGGGUGAGUAAUGCUUGGGAAUCUGGCUUAUUGAGGGGGAUAACGACGGGAAACUGUCGCUAAUACCGCGUACCAUAGGAUGAGCCCAAGUGGGAUUAGGUAGUUGGUGGGGUAAUGGCCUACCAAGCCGACGAUCUCUAGCUGGUCUGAGAGGAUGACCAGCAGCACCGAGACUGAGACACGGCCCGGACUCCGACGGUAGGCAGCCGUGGGGAAGAUUGCGCAAUGGGAGCAGCCUGACGCAGCCAUGCCGCGUGAAUGAAGAAGGCAUUCGGGUUGUAGAGUUCUUUAGGUGACGAGGCGUUGAUCACAGAAGAAGCACCGGCUAACUCCGUGCAAGCAGCCGCGGUAAUUC
rnacentral:rRNA from 1 species